AUUGAACGCUGGCGGCAUGCCUUACACAUGCAAGUCGAACGGCAGCGGACCUUCGGGUGCCGGCGAGUGGCGAACGGGUGAGUAAUGCAUCGGAACGUGCCAUUGAGUGGGGGAUAACGUAGCGAAAGUUGCGCUAAUACCGCAUAUUCUGUGAGCAGGAAAGCAGGGGGACCGCAAGGCCUUGCGCUCUUUGAGCGGCCGAUGUCAGAUUAGCUAGUUGGUGAGGUAACGGCUUACCAAGGCGACGAUCUGUAGCGGGUCUGAGAGGAUGAUCCGCCACACUGGAACUGAGACACGGUCCAGACUCCUACGGGAGGCAGCAGUGGGGAAUUUUGGACAAUGGGGGCAACCCUGAUCCAGCCAUGCCGCGUGAGUGAAGAAGGCUUUCGGGUUGUAAAGCUCUUUCGGCCGGGAAGAAAUCGCAUGGGUUAAUACCCUGUGUGGAUGACGGUACCGGCAUAAGAAGCACCGGCUAACUCCGUGCCAGCAGCCG
rnacentral:rRNA from 1 species